GGAACUUGCUCAGUAAACAGACUGGCCCCAAACCUCACCUACUAGGUUUCCUUAAGGCCUUUGGAAGCUCCUUCCUCUCAAACAUUCUAGGCUUUCUUAUUUAUCACCGGUGAAGCCGAUGAAUCCCAACAUGAGUGAAGAACAGUGAGAGAGCCCUCAAGCAACUAGAAGUAUCCCCAGAGAAUAAAUACUUCGACGAAUUUAGGAAUCCCCCAUGGAUUUUGGGUUCCAAUUUUCAUCUGGAAAAAAAGGAAAAGAAAAACAGGUGAUGAUUACCAGUAGGCAGACCCAAAAGCAGCUGAGGCCAUAGGCAGAUCGGGCUGUGGUGCUAAACUGUCCAGCAGAUCGAGAUGCCCAAGAUGAUGGGAUGGCCUGGGACGCAGGGUGUCAUCAUGACAACAGGUGGUAUCUGAUGAGCAGGAGACAGCAUGAAGCCAGUAACAACAGCAUUGACCUCUGAGGUCUGUUAGACUCCAGGGAAAUCUCUACAGCAGCAUCCAUAGAGGCAGCUUCUUCAUACAACUCCUGGUUGGGACUGCUCUUGGACAAAUGGAGAAUGACCCUGGUAAAUGCAGAAGCGAUUUGGAUUUAUCUGUAGCCCAUGCACUUUGACUUUUGAGAGAAGCUGAAUUAAACAGAAGACUUGAAGGAAUGUUUAACUCAACUAGGAAGAAAUUCAGAUGUCACGAGAAAAGUGAAGAAAAAUGCAUGGUUCCUUUUGCAUGUAUAUUGUGUCUGCGUGUUUACAUGUGUGUGGAUGCAUACACAUAUGGAUGAAUAUGCAUGCAUAGGUCAGAGAUUGAAACUGGAUGCCAUUUAAACAUUUAAUUCUUGGCCUUGAGAUAGCAAUGACGGUGGAAGGCGGAAGAGAACACGCAUGUCCAGGAUACCAAUGGUAUGUAAUGGAAGUACAUCAGAGGCAUACACACAUUAAAUGGAGUCCCUUCUCUCCAUCUGGAGAGAUAUUAUUGUUCUUAUUUUACAGGUAACAAACAAGGCAAGAGAAGUGAGUCAACAAGCUUGAGGUCAUGCAGCCAGUGGGUGGCAGAGCUGAGGUUUAUAUGUAGAGUCAAUUGCUUCCAAAAUCUUGACUUAUUUUCCAGUGAGGAGAUAUUUAAAUUCCCCUCCAGACUCUAGCCCCACAGAACCACCAGAAUGGUUCAUAAUAGGGAAAGAUGAAUAUAAGAGAAAGAAGACUACAGAGGUUUAUGUUGGACAGAUGUAUACGGGCCUUACAUGCACACUGCUGCCCACAGAACUUGCUGAAAUCUAGGCUGGAGCAUCUAAAUGGAUACUUGGAUGUAUCAGUUUGAUGUACGAACAGCUGAAGGCAGUGCACCAAGGUCCCAUUGUGCAUCCAUCCUCCCCCUACCUGCUGCUGCUUCAUUGUUUUCUGAAUCAGUGACUAUCAUCUGAAGAUGGUGAUCUCCACAACUCUCUGGCUGAUCAUUUUCUUCCCAAACCACCCCCACCUGACAUCUGUCAUGGAACAUAGGCUAUUUUGUAUUGUGUCCCUUAAGAACCCUCAAUGUUUUCCAGACUCUUCAAACUGUCUGCAGAGUCUUUGUGGACGUUAUAGAAUGAAAACUAAACAUUAGGGGCUUAUCAUGUAGAAACUGGGCAAUGACCAUGCUGGUUAGAUUCAUAUGGCUCAGAGAGUGGUUCACAAGCCAACACCACCACCAGUGACUAUGCCUGUUAGAUGAACAAUCUCAGUCCUUACCUUUAACCUAAGAUUCAGAAUCUACAUUUUAACUAACUACUUCAUAUACCAUAUGAAUUUUUUUUAAAGGACCAAGAUAAAAUGAUCGGAACUGCAAAGACAAAACAACAUCAACAAAACCCAAACAAGCAAAGAAGAAACUUUGACCAUUUUCUGGGAAAUAAGAGAAUUGUUUGGCAACAAUAUGCCAACUAUUGGCAGCAUGGAUUCCUGGAACUCCAUGUGAGGCUUAGGUAUUGUUGUGUUCAUCUUUUAACUCCUGAUAGUCAUCUUUGGAGGCCUUGUAAUCCCUUAGGAAGGAAAAGUCCAGUGUGUGUGUUUAUUGCAAUGUCCAUUAAGUGAAGAGAAAAUGGAGGCUUAUGGGUUCUUAGUGAGUGUUAGGGUCAGAACCUGAAUCCAAACUUCCAAACUCAUUGGUCCAGCAGCCUCAGCUGAAUGGGUGCAGUUCAUGUCUUCAUCACUAAACAUUCCAGAGCUGAAGUUUUAAAAUUCUUGGAGGUCUACUGCAAAUACAGGUGGCUCACCCUUAGGGCUUCUGAUACAGUCAACUGCAUAUGGUGUUAGGUAUUUGUGUUUCUGCCAAGAUCCAAGUGAUGCUCAUAUUGGUGAUCUAGGGACCACACCUUGAAAACUAAACUUGUGAUUGACAUUGUCAGGUAAAACUCUUGGAACAAGUACCAUGUUUUUCCAAUGACAAGAGCUGUCAUUAGCCUUCACACCUCCACUCAUUUAAUACUAACCAAUUUCUAUGCAUAUAAUCACCCCCCCCAUUCAUGAAGGAUGCAAGUAUGCUCAUGGGGUCUGUGCACUUUCUGGGUUGUAAACCUCAGGCCUGGAAGGCAGGUCCAUACAAAGCUAUAGAGCUUAUAGUGAACUGUCUCAAGCUGGAAUCUUCUCAAGAGCUCUUCACUCCAUUCUCAGUUAACAGAACUCUGCAGGGCAAAGUGCUUGGAGUUCCAUAGCAGUGUGUGCAGAUAGCCAGACAGAAAUCCUCUUAGGACCCAGGGCCAGUCAUUAUUUUUCCCAUCAGCUACUGGAUCCCUGGGUACUCCCAAACACUCACCAGGGAACACUGCUAAUGAAGUUCCAAACUUCCAGCGCCAUUUACAUUGACCUAACAGACCAGAACACUAUCAGUUAACAAUUAUCAUGUACUUACUGCAGGUAGAAUGCUGUUUAGUCAUGUGACUUGAUUGGGCCAUCCUUGCAGCAAUGCUGUGGGUGUGACUGUGCCACUAGGUGGGUGAGGAUGUCAGUUCAGCCAUUGUUCCUGCCCUUCAGGAAGCUAAGUUUCUAGAAGGGAGAAGCAAGUACACACAAAUCUGUGUACUUAAGAAAUAAAAACAGCAAAGAAAGUUUGAUGAGUAUUGUUAUGUAGCAGGUCUUCCUUUGGAUUAUUUGAUGUGAUUUUUUUCUCAGCCACGGUCUGGAGUGUAUAUUGUGGUUAUUUUUAAUUGAUGAGGAUCCUCAACUUCACAUGCUAUGACUCUGCUUCUUCCUCAGGAUCAUUGGUGCAUUGGUUCAAGAGGGUGGAGCGAGCAGAAGUGGGGGACAGGGUUUGGAUGGCUGUGGGUAUGACAGAGAAAGCCCUCUGGGAG
ensembl:lncRNA